rnacentral:rRNA from 1 species
GCUGAAUGUGGGGAUAAUUUAUCUCCGUGUUGAAGCUAACGCGUUAAGCACUCCGCCUGGGGACUACGGUCGCAAGACUAAAACUCAAAGGAAUUGACGGGGACCCGCACAAGCGGUGGAGCAUGUGGUUUAAUUCGAUGCAACGCGAAAAACCUUACCACUCCUUGACAUGGAGAUUAGAUCCUUCUUAACGGAAGGGCGCAGUUCGGCUGGGUCUCGCACAGGUGCUGCAUGGCUGUCGUCAGCUCGUGUCGUGAGAUGUUGGGUUAAGUCCCGCAACGAGCGUAACCCUCAUCCUUAGUUGCCAGCGGGUAAUGCCGGGUACUUUAAGGAAACUGCCGGUGGUAAACCGGAGGAAGGUGGGGAUGAUGUCAAGUCAGCACGGCCCUUAUGGGGUGGGCUACACACGUGCUACAAUGGUGACUACAAUAGGUUGCAACGCCGCAAGGCUGAGCUAAUCCAUAAAAGUCAUCUCAGUUCGGAUUGUCCUCUGUAACUCGAGGGCAUGAAGUCGGAAUCGCUAGUAAUCGUGGAUCAGCAUGCCACGGUGAAUACGUUCUCGGGUCUUGUACACACUGCCCGUCACGCCAUGGGAAUUGGCUUAACUCGAAGCUGGUGCGCUAACCGAAAGGAAGCAGCCAU